rnacentral:rRNA from 1 species
UACGUAGGGGGCUAGCGUUGUCCGGAUUUAUUGGGCGUAAAGAGCUCGUAGGCGGCUUAGCAAGUCGGGUGUGAAAACUCCAGGCUCAACCUGGAGACGCCACUCGAGACUGCUAUGGCUAGAGUCCGGUAGGGGACCACGGAAUUCCUGGUGUAGCGGUGAAAUGCGCAGAUAUCAGGAAGAACACCCGUGGCGAAGGCGGUUCUCUGGAACGCAACUGACGCUGAGACGCGAAAGCGUGGGGAGCAAACAGG